CACCGACUCCAGCAACUUCCAACCACAGGCCGCGGCAUCAGGCACUUCCUCCCGUCGCCAAGCGCCGCCGUCGCCACUUCCGCCUGUGAAUUGCACUUACGACCGGACAUAGGACCAUGCCUUAAUUCGUCUUGGCUCUCCAGUGCUCAGCAAACUUUGCUUCAGUGAACAGACCUACUUUUCGGUCCAGAUCCACCAUUUACUAGGUGUAUAAUUUAGGGCAAGAACAUAGCUCCUGUUGAGAGGAUUAAAUGAGCUAAUGUAUUUAAAGAAUUUGGCACAAUGCCUGGACCACAAUAGACUCAAUGUAAAGAGUGUUAAGAGUGUCUUCUCUUCACCCCAUUUAAGCUCUUGAGAAACAUCUUUGAAGUGUCCAUGUUAAACAAUAUACCUCACAAUGUGAAAUA